GCUUAUCACCAUUCCAGAUUGAAUAUACCCGAUCUCGUCUGAUCUCGGAAGUCAAGCAAUCUCGGGC
rnacentral:rRNA from 1 species